GGUUAAGUGGUAUUUACACUUUAAGAUGAAAAUGAUUGGGUAAAGGGUCUGAGCAAAACAUCAUCUUAGUCUAAACAAGCAAUGUGCCAAUGCUCUCUGUUCUACUUAGAAUCUUUAUUGACCAGAUCUGUAAAUAUUACACAUAUCAUCUGAGUACACACAGAGGCAUACACAGAGGGAAAGAAACUAUUUGUGAACUUUGUGAAUAAGACAGUGCAUCAGUACCUCAGGCGGCUUCUUUGUCUCUCAGAGUACCUCAAACCUCAUUGCACCUUAAAGCACCCUUCCAGUGUGGUGACACACAGCAUCAGGGGCCACCA